rnacentral:rRNA from 1 species
GACGAACGCUGGCGGCGUGCUUAACACAUGCAAGUCGAACGAAGUGGCGGACGGGUGAGUAACGCGUAAUCAACCUUCCCUUCAGAGGGGGACAACAGUUGGAAACGACUGCUAAUACCGCAUACUGAAGAAGGGGGUUGUGUUUGAGUGGCUAGGUGGAGGGGGAACGCCCCACCAAGGAGAUGUCCAGUAGCCGGCCUGAGAGGAUGACCGGCCACAUUGGGACUGGGAAACGGCCCAGACUCCUACGGGAGGCAGCAGUGGGGAAUCUUCCGCAAUGGACGAAAGUCUGACGGAGCAACGCCGCGUGAGUGAUGACGGCCUUCGGGUUGUAAAGCUCUGUUGAUCGGGACGCGGUACCGGAAUAGAAAGCCACGGCUAACUACGUGCCAGCAGCCGCGGUAAUUC